rnacentral:misc_RNA from 1 species
AACGCAUAUUGCGCUCGAGGCUUCGGCCAAGAGCAUGUCUGCCUCAGCGUCGCUUUAAUCCCUCACCCUCUCUCCCCUAGUGGGUUGGAGCGAGUGGACCUGGCUUUCCCAGUGUGUUCAUUCACGCUGGGUUUGCUGAAGUGCAGAGGUUGAUGCAUGGACCCGUUAAUGGGCCUCAGCUGGGUAGGCAACUUGUUGCUGAUGCUUUAGCUGUUGGCUUGGGACUGUGCUUGUCAACCCAAACCAGGAAAGGAGCUUGCUCCUUACACUUCAAAAUUCGACCUGAGCUCAGGCAAGAACACCCGCUGAACUUAA